CACUAACGUCGGAGAGGUAAUUUUUUUUUCUUCUCGUUCGAAAUUUGAUUCUAAACCUCCCCACAUCCAUAUCGGAGCCAAAAGGCCAACGGGUAAGUUAGAAAACAUGAGCGAAACUUGACCGAGCCACCCCGCGACCCAAAAACCAUUCCGAUGAGCCCUUUCCCAUUUCUUGUUUCCUGUUUCCUUUGAUUCUUUGACCC
rnacentral:lncRNA from 1 species